GACAUAGGUGGCGACCGUUAUCCGGAAUUAUUGGGCGUAAAGGGUGCGUAGGUGGUUUAAUAAGUUACUGGUGGUAAAUCGGGGCUCAACCUCGUGGAAGUCAGUAAUACUAUUAGACUAGAGGACCGGAGGAGUUAACGGAAUGGCUCAUGUAGGGGUAAAAUCCGCAAAUAUGAGUUAGAACACCAACUGGCGAAGGCAGUUAACUAUGCGGUUCCUGACAUUGAGGCAUGAAAGCGUGGGGAGCAAACCGG
rnacentral:rRNA from 1 species